UGGGGAAUUUUGGACAAUGGGCGAAAGCCUGAUCCAGCAAUGCCGCGUGUGUGAAGAAGGCCUUCGGGUUGUAAAGCACUUUUGUCCGGAAAGAAAUCCUUGGCUCUAAUACAGUCGGGGGAUGACGGUACCGGAAGAAUAAGCACCGGCUAACUACGUGCCAGCAGCCGCGGUAAUACGUAGGGUGCAAGCGUUAAUCGGAAUUACUGGGCGUAAAGCGUGCGCAGGCGGUUUGCUAAGACCGAUGUGAAAUCCCCGGGCUCAACCUGGGAACUGCAUUGGUGACUGGCAGGCUAGAGUAUGGCAGAGGGGGGUAAUUCCACGUGUAGCAGUGAAAUGCGUAGAGAUGUGGAGAAUACCGAUGGCGAAGGCAGCCCCCUGGGCCAAUACUGACGCUCAUGCACGAAAGCGUGGGGAGCAAACAGGAUUAGAUACCCUGGUAGUCCACGCCCUAAACGAUGUCAACUAGUUG
rnacentral:rRNA from 1 species